AACAGGGAUUGCCCUAGUAACGGCGAGUGAAGCGGCAACAGCUCAAAUUUGAAAUCUGGCCUAGGCCCGAGUUGUAAUUUGCAGAGGAUGCUUUUGGCGCGGUGCCUUCCGAGUUCCCUGGAACGGGACGCCACAGAGGGUGAGAGCCCCGUAUGGUUGGACACCAAGCCUGUGUAAAGCUCCUUCGACGAGUCGAGUAGUUUGGGAAUGCUGCUCAAAAUGGGAGGUAAAUCUCUUCUAAAGCUAAAUACCGGCCAGAGACCGAUAGCGCACAAGUAGAGUGAUCGAAAGAUGAAAAGCACCUUGAAAAGGGGGUUAAAUAGUACGUGAAAUUGUUGAAAGGGAAGCGCUUGUGACCAGACUUGUGCCAGGCGGCUCAUCCGGCGUUCUCGCCGGUGCACUCCGCCUGGCUCAGGCCAGCAUCGGUUUUCGCGGGGGGAUAAGAGUGGCGGGAAUGUGGCUCCCUCCGGGGAGUGUUAUAGCCCGCUGCACGAUACCCUCGCGGGGACCGAGGUUCGCGCUCCGCAAGGAUGCUGGCGUAAUGGUCAUCAGCGACCCGUCUUGAAACACGGACCAAGGAGUCGUCCAUUAGAGCGAGCGUUUGGGUGUAAAACCCGCACGCGUAAUGAAAGUGAACGUAGGUGAGAGCUUCGGCGCAUCAUCGACCGAUCCUGAUGUUCUCGGAUGGAUUUGAGUAAGAGUUCUAACGGACGGACCCGAAAGACAGUGAACUAUGCUUGUAUAGGGUGAAGCCAGAGGAAACUCUGGUGGAGGCUCGCAGCGGUUCUGACGUGCAAAUCGAUCGUCAAAUAUGAGCAUGGGGGCGAAAGACUAAUCG
rnacentral:rRNA from 1 species